AUGCUCGAGGGUUUGAGGAUGUUUAUUGGUGGCUGAUGUGAUGAAUUAACAUGUUGUGGUUGCUGAUAUUGUGCUAUGUUGCAUGUAUAUAGAAUGAUUGAUGGAAUGAAGUUGGAAGAAAGUUAGAAAUUUGGAAAAGGAUCUCAAGAGGACUUCGAGGGAACUCCCGGCGAAGCGUCUUAGAGCUAAUUUCUCAAACUUUGACUUUUGAUACUUGGUUUGGAAGUGGAAGUUCUGAGGCUUAAUUAGUGACCCCCAAAAAUAAUUUUUCCCCACAGGGCUCGAGGCCAAAGAAAGCGC